UUUUAUAACUUAUAAAAAAUAAAAAAAAUAAUAAUAAAUUUGAAAAAUUAAAAAUUAAAAGGGGAUAAAAUUGAAAAAUAUUUAUGAUUUUAUAAUUUAUUCAAAAAAAAUAUAUAAAUAAAUAUAAAAUGAAAAUAAAUUAUAGGAGCUAGUCUGAUUUUUUUUAAGAGAUUGACAUGAAAUUAAAGAGUGAGAAAGAAAAAGAAAAAGAGAUAAAAUAAAAACUCUUUUAGCCCAAAACUACGAAUGGUUCACCCUGGAAGAAUGCCGUGCCCUUCCUCGAAGGAGAAAUUGUCCGCAAAUGCCUCGCUCGCAACGCCCAACAGGAAUAUUUGAAAUGGGUCUGACUCAUGUUUUCCUUCAUCUGCCCUUGAUAUAGAAGUGUUCAUUUGUAGCGCAUCGCAGCUAUUGCAGAACGAGCUUGCAAUUUUGGAAUUCAUACAACUUGUAGUUGAGACCAUGGACCGCCAUUUCGGCAAUGUGGCAAGUCCUCUACUGCCAAGGAUGAUGUCUUUUUACCCCAUGUUGAUGGACUAAUAUUUGGCUUGUCAUCUUUGUCGCCAAGGUUGUCUCCUGGUUUUCCUUUGUUACCCUCAGAUAGAAGUUUACCUUUUCUCUUUGUUUUAAUUUGUUUCUCUUAUCUACAAUGCGAGCUAGAAAUCAUGUUCCAUUUAGAAAAAAGCUCAUUUCAUGCUGGAAGAGAUUGUCAUGAAUGGUUUGCAUUGAUGAGACAAGCAACUCUAACAUUCUGAGCCCGACAAUUACACUGAUGGACAAAACAUCUUACAUGACUGGUCAGGUGCUAUCGUUCUUUCUUGGAUUCUUGAUGAGUUAGCAUUUUAGUUUAUCCUUUAGUGUAUAAAUAAGCUUCAACAGAGACAUUUUCCCUGGUACAUGAAAAACGUUGUGUUGAUUUUAUUGUUGUACCGGUAAAAUACUCUGCUGUCUUCAACAAAAUUUGGUUUUCAUACCUUAAUCAUUCUGUCCAUGUGUAAAGUUCAACUCUUAAGCUCAAGUUCUGUGUGUAAUGGCUGCACUGUAGUGUCCUUUGCUCUAUUCUGGAGGCAUCCAAUUCCAAGGUGAAGAAGGAUUUUUAAGUUGCAGUAUCAUCAGCCAACAUCAAAUUUGCUAACAAAAUAUACAUUUUUUUUAGAGUUACGCAUAAAUUGCCUAAUCUUCUACAGAAUAAUAAUGUUUCACAGAUGUAUUUCCUGCCAAUUGGCAACAUUUCUCUAGGAAAUUUCAAUUUGAAAAAACUGAAAGAUCAAAUUGCUGCAGGCCUGCCAUCUUUUCUUAGAUCGCUCACUGCUGUGAGCGUUCCAUGGAGUAUUUGGGCAUUUACAGAAUCUCUCGAAUUUUCUCUGUCCACGUGGAUGGGGCUUUGGAGGGUCUGAACAACAAGCUGGACAAUAGCUCCCCCUGCCUGAGCCAGCAACUGAUGACCCCUUUCCUCCAAGAAAGCUUUUCUGUCCCCUGCAAGUUCUAUGUGCUUGCCAUCUAUUACUGUCCAGUUUUCGUACAACACAGUAUUGGGUAUUAACUGCUCAAAAUCAGAUCACAUCAUAUGUCCAAGUAUUAGACGGCAUAUCAUAUUACCCAGAGAGAAGAUAAACAUGAAUUGACCGUUGAAGCAAGUUUCCUACCUUGUGAUAGACCCUUGGACUCUCAACUGCAGUUAAAGGUUCCAUCCUCAUGACAAAAUGAUUAAGAAAGACUUGUAUCACCGCUGGAAUGAUGAAAAGUCCGCCACUACCACCCAUGACCCCAGCUAGCUGAUUGUCCUGUGGAGUUUACAAAAGUGAGAUUACUCGAAGUUAGAGAGGAUUUAUGAAAUUGAUGACGAUACAUCUGAUUCAAGACCAAUGAGGUCGAAACUAUUGCUGUUGAGCUGCAAGAAUUUCUAGCUUGAUAGAGAGUAAUAUAUAUAUAUAUAUAAAGCCAAACCUUGGUGACAAUAAUAGGAGUCAUGGAAGAUAAAGGUCUCUUGUUGGGUUCGAUAAAAUUUGCUGGAGCAGGAGGGAGCAUGUCAGGAGUUAUCUCUGUGGGUGCUGAGAAAUCACCCAUCUCAUUGUUGAGCAAAAUUCCAGUAGAGGGCGAGAGAACUCCAGCUCCAAAACCAUAAUUUAUUGUUGUUGUCAUUGAUACAGCAUUUCGCUCUGCAUCCACAAUGCAAAAGUGGCUGGUUCCAUGAUCUCUAAGCUGACUCCACCUACUAAUUAAGGUCUGGAAUCUUUAGAAUCAUGACACAGUGACAAUGAUACCAGUAAAGCUUUAUUUAUAAUCAGUAGCAAGUAGACAUACCUUUCCAUAUUCAUGUAAUAUUCUGGAGGGAAUGUGGUAUUGUCCACUAUCAUUUUCUGUAUUUUAUCAGCGUAAGAUUGGGAAAGCAUUUCAGACAUA